ensembl:lncRNA novel transcript, antisense to DSCR3
GCAGGAAGGAACUGAGAACACCAGCAUCUGCUGCCGCCCUGAAUCAGCGUUAGCAUGUGGAGGCAACCUCAGCCCCCAGUUUUUGAAGAAGGUGAUUCAGAUUCAGACACAGGAAUUAUGGUGACGGUAGAAAUGGACUGGAAGGUUCGUUCCCCUUGCCCACCAAGACUCCAGAGCAGUUUCUUUCAGGGUGGAAACAGUCCCAACCUAGAAAGCUGAUCAGAAGACUCCCACCCACAUACCAGCAAUUGGUAUCUGCAUGGCUACGUACGCAGCUUCCUCUGAAUCCAGGUACUACUCAGUCAUCACUGCUGCUUCCUUGGGGCUGUCCAAAGCCUUUGGUGCUAACAAUAAAGGACUAGAAACACUUCUUUUCUUCACAGAAGAUGUACAUCAUACUACAUGUGUUUCCUCUGGACAGAUCUCUUAGGCAAUUCAUAAAACUCCCAUACAGAUGAAUCUUUAAACACUCACAGGGGUUUGGGGGGCUUUUAUUUUAAAGGUUCUAUUAUUUUCAGCA